CAAGGGAGGGUGCUGCAAGGGAAGCUGUGGCAGAGCUGCAGGGCAGCAAGGAGAUCCUGAGUGGUAACCACAAGAGCAGUAGAGGGGGUUUGCCUGCUGACCUCUCUCAGACAGUGAGAAAGAGAUGAAGAAGGCUGAGGCCCAGUGAGGAGGGGCAGGAAAUGGUUGCUUAGUGAGGAGCAGACUUGGAAAGAAGAGCUCUAGGACUGGCUGAAAAUGCUAGAGCUAGUGGCCCUUCUCUCCAUGCCUCUGAGCAGAUCACUCCAGAGAGAGACACAGGAAAUGGAUAAGCUGAUGAACUUGUCUCUUGCUAGAAGUCAGCCCUCAGGUGGAAUCUAGAUGAGUGCCCAACACCAGAGACACCAGGUAGGUGCCUGACUUUCAGAGGGUGGCUGCUCAGCGUUUUCUGAAAAUCAGCUAGUACCAAGAGCAGCAAGUGCCUUGGGUGAAAGUGUAUGUGGGGAAAGCAAGGAGCCCCCAUCUUAAGAGACCAACCCCGGGGUCUGGUAUUGACUCAGAGGGCAGCCUCCUUCUGAUACACUUAUGGAGCUUCAAUUACCUCGAAUAGGAGGAGUUGCAUCAAGGAGGGGAUAUGUUUGUAUCCAUGGAGUAAACCAUUUAUGGACUUACAUGCCGAACAAAGGGCGUGAAGAGCUUUAUAAAUUAACAAUGCUGAUGUAGAAAGAACUCUAAAUUACUCUCUAAUGAAAACUCUGAGUUAAGAAUAAACCUUAAGCUCUUAACAAGAGAGGAGGCAAUUAGGAAGAUACUGUCAAAGCCAACAGAGGCUCACCAUUAUGUCUGAGAGGAUCAGGUCCGACCAGUAAUGAUUCCGCAUUGUCAGGAUUUAAGUUUGAGGAACUGGCACGUAUUUGUCUGCAUUCAUCAGCCAAACAAUCUGGCAAGACUAGAAACAUGUCUAGAGUCAGAGCACAUUAAAGCUGUGCAUUAUCUGCUUAUCAGCAGGAACUUGACCUAUAAAAUCUCACACACACACACACACACACACACACACACACAGAGCAAGGAAUAGCCAGAAGAGGUGCUUUCAAAGCACAUGGAAUGGAAGUUUGGCCAUUUGGUUAUUCAGCGCCAAGUCCUUGUUGAAUUGUCCAUUGUUGGCUUAUGAAGGUCAAAAUCUUGCAUUUCUUUGACCUGUGCAUUAGAACAAUGAUUAAUAAUAAAGUUUGUUUAAAAGCAGGAGAAAUGAAUCAAGAUGCAGCAUGUGUAGGGACAGAAAACCAUAGCCAUGAAAAUAUGUCCUCCUUGCCAUCCCUACUGGCCAUUCCCACCCUACCACUAGGAUGCUUACUGAUCUGUAAUCCUUUCUGAGUAAUGCAGUUCAUUGAGGUCAUGAUUCAUCAGAGCAUUCAAGUUCUGUUGAAAUCAGUGUGAUAC